UACGUAGGGGGCAAGCGUUGUCCGGAUUUAUUGGGCGUAAAGAGCGUGUAGGCGGCCAUACAGGUCCGUUGUGAAAACUGGAGGCUUAACCUCCAGACGUCGAUGGAAACCGUAUGGCUAGAGUCCGGAAGAGGAGAGUGGAAUUCCUGGUGUAGCGGUGAAAUGCGCAGAUAUCAGGAAGAACACCGAUGGCGAAGGCAGCUCUCUGGGACGGUACUGACGCUGAGACGCGAAAGCGUGGGGAGCGAACAGG
rnacentral:rRNA from 1 species